AAUGAACUAGGUCACUGCGAAGAUCCUAACAAUAUUCAAGAGCGGAAGUCAUACUACCUUUUUAACUACCGCCCAUUUCACUAACUAGCAAAGCCUGCAAGCUUCUGGAGCUUAUCUUAUAUUCACACAUAGCACAACACCUCGAUGAUAACUCAUUUUUUUCACCUAAACAACAUGGUUUUCGUCCUGGGUUAUCCUGUGAAAUAGCUUUUUGAAUUAAUACUGACCUUCAUCUCAACUUAGAUUCUUCGUUUCAGAUUGACAUCAUAUACAUCGAUUUCACGAAAGCGUUUGAUCGCGUCGCUCACAAACGAACUAUCACUAAACUCGUGGUACUCCGCCUCGACCAAUUAUUCUUCUAAUGGAUAAACUCCUUCUUAACAGACCAAGUGCAGUUUACUGAUAGGAGUUCAGCAUCCUUCAGCAACAAAAGUAACAUCUGGUGUCCCCCAAGGCUCGGUUCUUGACCCGCUACUUUUCUUAAUAUUUAUCAACGACAUACCUAACGGAAUUUCAUCUACUAUCCGUCUAUUUUCAUAUGAAUUCGUACUUUACCGCCGGAUCAAUAACCACAAAGAUCACUGCAUCAGCAGAAUGACUUAAACCAAAUUUAAAACUGGUGCUCAAAGCAGAUGAUGAAAUGUAAACAUAUGCGCGUGUUUCAGGAACGGUUUCCCUCCAUUUAUACAUACUCGUUGCACUGGACACUGGUAUUGGAAGUACAGGAAUACCUGUACCUUGGCGACUUAAUUGCUACAAAACUAGCCUGGGCAGAACGCAUAAUAAAUGUUGCCAGCAGACGCAUCGAGGUCCCUGGGAUUCAUCAGAAGGAAUCUAUCUUUGUCACCACCCUAGGUUAGGCAGAAUACCUGGGUCCGAACAGGCCGCCAUUGUAAUCUGAACCUAGCAACAUUUAACGGUAGGACGUUAUCUAGUGAAGCGAGUCUAGCAGUGCUACUGGAGGAAUUAGAGGGCAGUAAAUGGGAUAUAAUCAGCUCAGUGAGGUUAGGAGGACAAAUGAAGCAUACACAGUGCUAAAAAGCGGGCACGUCCUGUGCUACCGGGGCUUAGCGGAGAGACGAGAACUAGGAGUCUGAUUCUGGAUUAAUAAGGAUAUAGCUGGUAAUAUAAAGGAAUUCUAUAGCUUUAACGAGAGGGUGGCAGGUCUUGUGAAACUUAAUAAGAGGUACAAAUUGAAGGUCAUACAGGUCUACGCUCCUACAUCCAGUCAUGAUGACCAGGAAGUCGAAAGCUUCUAUGAAGACGUGGAGUCAGCGAUGGGUAAAGUCAAAACAAAAUACACUAUACUGAUGGGCGACUUCAAUGCCAGGGUAGGCAAGAAGCAGGCUGGAGACAAGGCAGUGGGAGAAUAUGGCAUAAGCUCUAGGAAUAGCAGGGAAGAGUUAUUAGUAGCGUUUGCAGAACAGAAUAAUAUGCGGAUAAUGAAUACCUUCUUCGGCGAGCGGGAUAGCCUAAAGUGGACGUGGAGGAGCCCGAAUGGUGAGACUAGAAAUAAAAUAGGCUUUAUACUCUGCGCUAACCCUGGCAUCAUACAAUAUGUGGACGUGCUCGGCAAGGUGCGCUGCAGUGACCAUAAGAUGGUAAGAACUCGAAUUAGCCUAGACUUGAGGAAGGAAUGGAAGAAACUGGUACAUAAGAAGCCGAUCAAUGAGUUAGCGGUAAGAAGGAAAAUAGAGGAAUUCCGGAUCAAGCUACAGAGCAGGUAUUUGGCUUUAACUCAGGAAGAGGAUGUUAGUGUUAAAGAAAUGAACGGCAAUCUUAUGGGCAUCAUAUGGGCAUUAUGGCCGUGGGUCGGACAGCUGCCGGAAGCCGUUGUGACCCUGCCGCCCUACGCGCCACUUUGGCAUAGCUGUUCUUUGACAGGUACGAGACCCGCCUCCGUGCUUCCUUGAAUGAGAGGUUCUCUCUUGCCUUAAUUGCUAAGAUUUCUUUCUCUAUUUGCCAGUGUCGGCAGGACCGCGAGUGUGCGCCAUGCUACCCGUCACAGUUUAUGCAGUGUAGAGCCUUUCCGCAGGGUUCAUAUGGAUGUUCGUGUCACUGCAUUUAGCACAGGUCAGUCGGCCUCAGCAGUUCUGGGAACUGUGGCCGAGUCUUUGGCAUUUGAAGAAACGGGGACGGUUGGGGAUGUAUGGCCUUACACGCAUUUUAACUUAGCCUGCCUCCGUGGUUUCUUGCAGCUCACUGGAACCGAAUGUGAGAUUUACGUGCUCAAUGUCAACUUCUUUUCCAUCACGCCUUAUUUUGAUUUGUUUUAUGUUGAUAACAUUUUAUUUUUCCAUUCCAGAAGUUCAGUCUCUGUCAGCUCCAUCGAAUCAUCAUCGGAAAUCACAUCGCGGAUGGUGUUCAUGGUGCAAUGUGGGGUCACUGAAGCUGUGGAGAUCACGCCUGCCGACGCAGCUGCGAAGGCGCUCUCUAUCAGCAGCCGUCCCCGAUCAGUGGCGCCGCAGCGGGCGCACGGAGAACUAGGCCCGAGACGCCGUUCAGGUGCGAAGCAGCGGGCCGCACCCUGUGCUUUUGCAUCAAGCGGCUGUGUCCAGGCACUGGAGGACCGUAUUUUCAUCCCUACUGAACAUCAUGUUUGCAGAUAUGUUCCUCAACUUAUGGCUUGAGCAGUGGCACAACCAGAGAUGGUGCGAAGGGCACACUGGGCAAGUGCUUAGGAUGCGUGUUUAAGAAGUCAUUAUCGUUUAUGUGCAUGCUCACGAAACCAGUUCAUUAGAACCGCUCGUGCCUCACGAAGUGAAAGCAAGGAGCAAUUAGGGCCUUUAACUGUGUACACCGCAGUGCAAACCUUACGUCUUAGAAGCUGGAGAGUCACUUGGAAUUGAAAAUUAUCUUAGAAAUGUAAAAUUGUGGUUUCUCCGAACUAGUUGCCAACCAAGUAUGCUAGUGGGGGUAGAGAUGCAUUCAAUGCAAAGAAUUGAGAGCAUCUGAGCAGAAGACUUUGUCAUCAAUUGGCGGAUGUGAACAUAUAGUGUUAAGCAAAAGCACCUUAGUUUCAUGUCUUCUGUAGACAUUCUCCUGGACUUAAGAUGUAUUAACCUUCCUAGACACAUAUGUACUUGUUUUGAGUCGAAGAUUCUGUGAAGUGCAAUAAUUUUUCUUACUUUAGCGCAUCUUAACCACAUCAGUAGGAAAAAAGCUUUGGUUUCAGGUAGUUGGUUCAUUGUGCAAGUAUAUGCAUUGUCCCAUGCAAAAUCCACGUGAAUGGAAGGGAUAUGUGAAACAGGAUGGUGCCAUUCUCAAUUUAUGUUUUGUUUCUUUGGUUAUCUUUUUCCUGCACUUCCCUGCCUGUACUUAUGUCGCCUUUGAUGCAUCAUAUUCAUAAUAUCUAAUUUUUGGUUCACAUCUGAAGCCAUGCUAUACUUUAGUUAGAUUGCAUAUUCAAAGAGUCACAAUAAUUGAUCAUGUAAUUUUGAAAGCUGCUCCUCAGAAGUAUAGCAUUCUUACCCUAAUGGGAAUGAAAAGCUACCAUAUAUGACAGGAAAUUUGAUGCGGAAGAUUUUAAUGCCAAUGCUCCUUGCAGUUUUAUACUCAUUUGCUACACACUGGAUAAUAUUGUAAAUUUAAUUUUAGUUAUUUGUGAGAAAGUGUAACGGAUGAAUCCCAACAGAACCAGAAAACUACUUUCGUGAGGAGGCCAACAGAAUAAGAAAUAUAAUAUGCCUCUGUACCGGUUUGAGACCGGGCACGAUAUUGCUGCAGAACCACGACAAGACACACUUAGAAACAAUGAGGUGCAGCCCAUACAUGAAUAACAUUAUGUUAAAUAUAAGCAAAGCUAGCUAGAUCAGCAGUCUUCCAUGAGAAUAUACAACACAUUUCUAAAUGCACUGUACUCUCGGUCAGGAACAGCCAUACACUGUACAGGACGUUAUCAAAUGAGCUGCUGUCUUAGAAUAUGGCACACAAAAAAAGUUUCCUGCACAAUUUAUCUACAUUACCAGCCCCAAUUAAUUAAUUAAUUAAUUAUGGGGUUUUACGUGCCAAAACCACUUUCUGAUCAUGAGGCACGCCGUAGUGGAGGACUCCGGAAAUUUGGACCACCUGGGGUUCUUUAACGUGCACCUAAAUCUAAGUACACGGGUGUUUUCGCAUUUCGCCCCCAUCGAAAUGCGGCCGCCGUGGCCGGGAUUCGAUCCCGCGACCUCGUGCUCAGCAGCCCAACACCAUAGCCACUGAGCAACCACGGCGGGUAUUACCAGCCCCAUGCUAAGCAGUUCAAAUGGUAACCUCUGCCACAUAAGUGCAUGCGUUUUGUGCCAGAAAUGCAUUUGCUGGCUAGUAAUUUGGCGCAUUUUUCUCAUCGAUCAUAGUGUCAGUACUUUGUGAGUUUGCACACGUUUGUUUUAUGUUUAACGUUCCAUUGUAUACUUUAUUUUUGAAAAGAAGGAGCCAAUUGAAAUUAAAGGAUCUUUCUACACCGUAAUACUGAUGAAACCUUAAAAAAUAUACUCAUGUUUUAUUACAAGAUGUGUUCUGAAGUCAUGGGCAUCAUUCCAAUUUGAUUUCAUGUGUUUGUCAGUGUGUUUCUCAAAUUAUUCAGUUUGUCUUGUGACUGAUCAAUAAAGAUUUUGACCUUUUAAG